rnacentral:rRNA from 1 species
AAACUUUCAACAACGGAUCUCUUGGUUCUCGCAUCGAUGAAGAACGCAGCGAAAUGCGAUAAGUAGUGUGAAUUGCAGAAUUCAGUGAAUCAUCGAAUCUUUGAACGCACAUUGCGCCCUCUGGCAUUCCGGAGGGCAUGCCUGUCCGAGCGUUAUU